rnacentral:rRNA from 1 species
CGCCAGCAGCCGCGGUAAUACGUAGGGGGCGAGCGUUGUCCGGAAUCAUUGGGCGUAAAGCGCGUGUAGGCGGCUUGGUAAGUCUGGUGUGAAACCUUGGGGCUUAACCCCAAGCCUGCACUGGAUACUGCCAAGCUUGAGUCCGGGAGGGGAGAGCGGAAUUCCUAGUGUAGCGGUGAAAUGCGCAGAUAUUAGGAAGAACACCGGUGGCGAAGGCGGCUCUCUGGAACGGUACUGACGCUGAGACGCGAAAGCGUGGGGAGCGAACAGGAUUAGAUACCCUGGUAGUCCACGCCGUAAACGAUGGGCACUAGAUGUGGGCGGUGUCGACUCCGUCCGUGUCGAAGCUAACGCAUUAAGUGCCCCGCCUGGGGAGUACGGCCGCAAGGCUAAAACUCAAAGGAAUUGACGGGGGCCCGCACA